rnacentral:rRNA from 1 species
UACAGAGGGUGCGAGCGUUAAUCGGAAUUACUGGGCGUAAAGAGCUCGUAGGCGGCUUGUUGCGUCGACCGUGAAAACCCGGGGCUCAACUUCGGGCUUGCGGUCGAUACGGGCGGGCUAGAGUUCGGUAGGGGAGACUGGAAUUCCUGGUGUAGCGGUGAAAUGCGCAGAUAUCAGGAGGAACACCGGUGGCGAAGGCGGUUCUCUGGGCAUGAUCUGACGCUGAGGAGCGAAAGUGUGGGGAGCGAACAGG